rnacentral:tRNA from 1 species
CGGUGGCUGAUUAAUAAGUGAAACACUGUAAAUGUUUAUAUGGCGAUAGCCCCUAUCCAUUGU